UACGUAGGGUGCAAGCGUUAAUCGGAAUUACUGGGCGUAAAGCGUGCGCAGGCGGCUUUGUAAGUCUGACGUGAAAUCCCCGGGCUCAACCUGGGAAUUGCGUUGGAGACUGCAAGGCUGGAGUCUGGCAGAGGGGGGUAGAAUUCCACGUGUAGCAGUGAAAUGCGUAGAGAUGUGGAGGAACACCGAUGGCGAAGGCAGCCCCCUGGGUCAAGACUGACGCUCAUGCACGAAAGCGUGGGGAGCAAACAGG
rnacentral:rRNA from 1 species